AAUUACUACGUGUUAUGCGUUGGAAUCUGUACAGCACACAAUUGUGACAUCUUGUGGUUGUAAGGAUGAACGGAAAAACUCCCUCAUUUAUCAGUUUAUCAUUUUGAAUUAAGAGUUUUGGAGAUUAGGACAAGAUUUUCUUCGCUUGCAUGUUUCUUUGCAAGUAAAUGUUUCGUUUCAGAUUUGACAAAUGUCCCUAUAACAAAACUAACAACAGAAAAAGCGCAGUUUGACUCAGACAUCAGAUUCAACGACUAAACCUACUGGCUGUCAAAGCAGCAGGACUUUGCAACAGAGUACUGUCACUCUGUCACACUCUGCAAGGCAGAGUCAAGGACAGCAGGUGGUGCCAAAGACCAAACAGACUGCCUCUGGGGAAAAUCCCUGUCUUAGCAGUCAUGUCAACUGAUAUCCAUCACUGUUAAACACAUGUACUUUCUUAUUUCUUACAUAUGUAUUGAAAAUAUAUAUAGUUUUACUCAAUAUGAAUAUAUGUAUUUAACAUUACUUUAUAUUGGCACUGUGCUUGUGUCUCUCUGUAUGAAAUAAUUUGCAAGCAGAAAUAUCAUUGGUUGGAGUAUUUAUACACGUUGGCUCCACAUGUUGGUCAGUGUGUAAGAGCAAAAACAAAUGCCAAAAUGAGACCUGGUACCCUUAUUGUAGGUUAAACUAAUGUGCUUCUGUCUACGUGGGGUUGCUUGUAAGGAACCUAUUUCUCCCAGUGUUCUCAAGUAGGUGCCCUACAGCUACUAAGCAUCCUGAACUAAGAUUUCAUACCUCUAGCAAAUUAGUGAAGACUUCUGUGAAAUGGCCAUUUGAAGCCCCGCAACAGUAUAACUGCACUUGGCAGACAUGCACUUCAGUGAUGCCAUAAAAAUUCCCCAGAAUCCAAUUGGACUCCAAAUGUGAUUAUUGUGUCUGAUAUCGUGUUUUUCUAGUAGUCUACUAAUUUUUAACUAUUCCUUCUGUAACUUGCAGACUCACGGAAUGUAUCAGACCAAAGACCUUUCCUGCACAUUAUAGACUGCCUUCCGUAAUAUAGCAGAACUGUUAGGUGGGCAAAAUUAACAUUCGAUGGCCUUGUCGGAUCUAUUACGUGGACAGAAUUACUUUUGCCCACAAUAAAUUAGUUAAUUUUGUCCUCAAACUAAGAUGUCCAUUCAGCCUUUUUUCCACGACAGAAUGUGCUCUCCUCAAUGUUCCGUGGACACAAUGCUAACGCAUUUGUGCUUUUCGUGGACAAAUGGCAUUACGGUGUGGGUGACCAGACGUCCUCUUUUACCCGUACAUGUGUCAUAUGUGGGUGUUGAGUGACUGUAAGUGUGUUAUGAUGUUGCUUUGUUUUGUUGGGCACCGCCCCCUUGACUGGUGCGCCUCACGAACAUCUGAUGGCAUGGUACAGGUGCUGAUAAUUAUGUCUCUGCUUGAGAUCCUUUUAAAAAUGAGCACUGUCUGUGCAUGCUGGACAUCACGCAAGGAUGGCUAUAGUGUGAUAUAGAGCAUUUGUUAGUUUUUUGGCGUUUGCGGGUUACCCGGACGUCUGUUGUUCGAGAUCCGAAGUUGGCUGUUUCCCUACUGCGUUGGAGUGGAGGCUGUGUGGGAUCCGCCGCUUCUGCGUUCGUGGGUUGCCAGGAAAAAUCUGAUCUGAGUUGUCCGUUGACUGAGAGAAGCGUCAUUGAACACUGACUGGGAACUAGAUUCGUCUGCUCCCGGUUCAAUAGUGUGUGCCUUUGUCUGCUAAUAAACUGAGUGAGUUACGUUUUAGCACUAUACAACGUAGAGCCGUUAUUGGCUAUUGUCUUUGGGUUGAUUUACUUUUGGUUGACAUUAUUACUUUUUAGUGUGUCGGUUAUUUACUUUCUGUUUGCUGUGAGUGUGCAUUGCCACUUGUGGAGAUUCUGGCGAUUCUCUCUCUCUCUGUGUGCGUGCUUUGCAGACCAAAAAAAGCAGCUACGGUGCGGUGGUGGAUGCUGACGGACUUUGCUUGCGGACUUUUGGAUACUGCGGACUCUUGGACAUUGUGGACUGUGCUUCCUUCGGCAGCCUGAUUCACAUGGACUUAGAUAACUUUGGGUGUAUUUUAUAUUUUAGAGCAAGCUUGUAAUAAAUACUAUAUUUUUGUAUCAGAAACUGAAGUCUUGAUGAAUCUGGUGUUGCUCCCACUAAACAAAUAACCUAAACAGUGAAAAGUAAACUAGUCCCAUCUCUGUAAACUGGGUGGCGUAGUCGGUCUACACUGCCGCACUCCCGUUACACAUGCCCUCUUUUCGAGACCUAAAAAAUGCAUCCGGCAGAGAUUCCAAACUCGUCCGGGAUUUUGCCUCGUCGGAUAUUUGUGUUUCUCUGGGUCUUUCACAAACUAGUUAUUACGCCCUUACAAGUUUUGGAAAGGGUAUCUCCCUCACGUUCCACCUUCUUGCGCGAGCUCUGACUAGACUAGAGAACUGUCAUUGGUCGACUGCUUUCUCAGUGUUGCCUGAUGUACGAUACUUAUCCUCCAAAUACGAUAAUCUUGAGCCUUUGGUUUGAUACUUUGCCAUUCCCAAUCUGGCAACACUGAGCACCUUGCCGCCUCGCUAGUUGCAUUGUUUAGAACAGCACAUGACAUGGAUGUGAACAAUGUCACAACUUCCAGGGGGCGGGGUCAUCUGCAUGUGAAAAAUGUUAAAACUGCUACACACUACUCUGCCCCCUCCCCCGCUACGAAGUGUCCUCUUUUUCACAAACUCAAAUCUGUCCACCCUAGAUAAAUGCAUUUGUUUAUUGUUGAUAAAGGCAUUUGGUACAUCACAUAAUGCGUUCUGUCUAUUAAAUAAAGUCUGUUACACAUGGCGUCUCACUCUAAAUUUCGUUGUAUGCAAAUACAAUGACAAUAAAGGCUUUUCUAUUUCUAUGUGCACCUCGCUAGCACACCUGCCUCCAAUGUCCAAGGUUGCGAGUGUGAGUCCGGUGCAGGACUGAGCUGUCACGCAACACAGGUUCCGCAACCUCUCUAGUUGAGGCUCAGCGCUGCUCCUCCAACCAAUACAUGUUUGCCAACACAGUUUGAACCAUUAGGGAUUAUACAUGUUCAGCCUGAUGAUUUACUGUUUAUAAAAUUUGAAAUAGUAUUACCUCAGGAAUUUAUGUCACUCGAUUUCUCCCAUUGCUAAGAAGGCCGUUUCCUGGUGAGAAGGCGCAGGAGCAAUGGCUAAUAAUACAGUGUAAUCUUGUCAAAGGUGCUUAUGUUCCAGAGACCUGUGACUGUAUAUGGAUUAUAUUGUUGAAACCAUAUUUACCAGGUUGUUAUCAGUGUCAUGGAUUGUCUGCGUCUGAGACUAUAAACCCUCUUUCUGCACUUGCAGAGCAGACCACUGUUGGCAUGUAUCACCUGACAGAUAAACUGAUAGGCAUGUCCAUUCAUCUGCUGUCCACAGGUCUUCUUGCUCUGCUAUUGUGCCUUUCCACCAAGGGUUUCCCAAGACAAGUCAAUGGCAUUGAGUUCUACAGCGACCUAGAGAGGUCGCACCUCCUGCUGAAGGAAAGCAACUCUCAGACCAGUUUUGACUCCAAGGCCAAUGCUCAAGCUGAUAAUGGCCUGUUUGAAGAGGAUCCCGAAUUCAUGUCGGUUAUUCCAAAGGGCAAUUCUGGCACCAAACAUGGAUUGCCUGCACCUCCCAAGGAGGUAUCUGUCAAGAACAAGACUGAAGCUUUAAGAGGGCCUGCACUGAAACGAGCCAGACGGGAUAUUAUUGCAACCACCACAAAAGCUCCCACCACUACCACAACAGCACCCACAACAGCUACAGAAGCUACCACAACAGCUGCUGCAACCACAACAACAGAGCCAGCAACCACAACAACAGUGGCUGAAAAUACCACAACAGCUACAAAUACCAGCUCCCAGCAACAAAUACCAGCUCCCACCACUAACACAACAGCACACAUAACAGCUCCAGAAACUACCAAAACAGCUGCUACAACCACCACAGCAGCUCCAGCAACUACCACAACAGCUGCUGCAACCACCACAACAGCACCCACAACAGCUCCAGAAACUACCACAACAGCUGCUACAACAACCACAGCAGCUCCAGCAACUACCACAACAGCUGCUGCAACCACCACAACAGCACCCAUAACAGCUGCAGCAAUUAUCACAACAGCUCCCACCACUACCACAUUAGCGCCAACAACAGCUCCAGAAACUACCACAACAGCUGCUGCAACCACCACAAAAGCUCCAGCAACUACCACAACAGCUAAUGCAACCACCACAACAACUGCUGGAACCACAAUAACAGCUCCAGCAACCCCCAAAGCAGGUGCCACCACUACCACAACAGCACCCACAACAGCUCCAGAAACAACAGAUGCUGAAACCAUCAAAACAGCUCCAGCAACAACAACAACAGCUCCAGCAACCACCACAACAGCGGCUUCAACUACCACAAUAGCUAUUGCAAGUACCACAACAGCUGCAGCAACUACCACAACAACUCCCACCAAUACCACAACAGCACCCACAACAUCUCCAGAAACUACCAAAACAGCUGCUGCAACCACCACUACAGCUGCUGCAACUACAACAACGGAACCCACAACAGAACGCACAACAUCUGCCACCACUACCACAAAGGCCCCCACAAGAGCUGCUGCAACUUCCACAACAGGUUCCCAAACCACCACAACAGAUGCUGCUGCAACCACCACAACAGCACCCAUAACAGCUGCAGCAAUUACCUCAACAGCUACCACCACUACCACAACAGCACCCACAACAGCUCCAGAAACUACCACAACAGCUGCUGCAACCACCACAACAGCUCCAGCAACUACCAAAACAGUUGCUGCAACCACCACAACAGCUCCAGCAUCUACCACAACAGCUCCCACAACAGCUCCCACCAUUACCACAACAGCUACCACAACAUCUGCUGCAACCACCACAACAGCGGCUGCAACUACCACAACAGCUGCUGCAACCACCACAAUAGCUAUUGCAAGUACCACAACCGCUGCAGCAACUACCACAACUGCUCCUGCGAAUACAACAAUGGAAACCACAACAGAAUCCACAACAUCUGCCACCACUACCACAAAGGCCCCCACUACAGCUGGUGAAAGUUCCACAUCAGCACCCACAACAGGUUCCCAAACCACCACAACAGAUGCUGCUGCAACCACCACAACAGUUCCUGCAACUACAACAAUGGAAACCACAACAUCUGCCGCCACUACCACAAAGGCCCCAACAACAGCUGCUGCAACUUCCACAACAGCACCCACAACAGGUUCCCAAACAACCACAACAGAUGCUGCUGCAACCACCACAACAGCACCCAUAACAGCUGCAGCAAUUACCACAACAGCUCCCCCCACUACCACAACAGCUGCUACAACUACCACAACAGCUGCAGAACCUUCCACAACAGCACCCACAACAGCUCCAGAAACUACCACAACAGCUGCUGCAACUACCACAACAGCUGUUCCAACUACCACAACAGCUGCUGAAACCACAACAACAGCUCCAGCAACCACCACAACAGCUGCUGCAACUACCACAAUAGCUAUUGCAAGUACCACAAUAGCUAUUGCAAGUACCACAACAGCUGCAGCAACUACCACAACAGCUCCUGCAACUAAAACAACAGAAGCCACAACAGAACCCACAACAUCUGCCACCACUACCACAAAGGCCCCCAAUACAGCUGCUGCAACUUCCACAACAGCUCCCACAACAGGUUCCCAAACCACCACAACAGAUGCUGCUGCGACCACCACAACAGCACCCAUAACAGCUGCAGCAAUUACCACAACAGCUCCCACCACUACCACAACAGCACCUACAACAGCUCCAGAAACUACCACAACAGCUGCUGCAACCACCACAACAGCUGCUGCAACCCCCACAACAGCGGCUGAAACCACCACAACAGCUCCAGCAACCACCAAAACAGCUGCUGCAACUACCACAACAGCUCCAGCAACCACCACAAUAGCUAUUACAAGUACCACAACAGCUGCAGCAACUACCACAACAGCUCCCGCCUCUACCACAACAGCACCCACAACAGCUCCAGAAACAACCACAACAGCUGCUGCAACUACCACAACAGCUGCUCCAACUACCACAACAGCUGCCGAACCCAAAACAACAGCUCCAGCAACCACCACAACAACGGCUGCAACUACCACAACAGCUGCUGCAACCACCACAAUAGCUAUUGCAAGUACCACAACAGCUCCGGCAACUACAACAACAGAAGCCACAACAGAACCCACAACAUCUGCCACCACUACCACAAAGACCCCCACAACAGCUGCAGCAACUACCACAACAGCUCCCCUCACUACCACAUCAGCUCCUACAAUUACCACUACCACAAAGACCCCCACAACAGCUGCUGCAACUUCAACAACAGCUCCCACAAAAGGUUCUCAAACCACCAAAACAGAUGCUACUGCAACCACCACAACAGCACCCACAACAGCUGCAAAAACUACCAGAACAGUUACAGCAACAACCACCACAGCUCCUGCAACCACCACAUCAGCGGUUUCAACUACCACAACAGCUGCUGCAACCAAUACAAUAGCUAUUGCAACUACCAAAACAGCUGCAGCAAUUACCACAACAGCUCCCACCACUACCACAACAGCUCCUGCAACUACAACAACGGAAGCCACAACAGAACCCACAACAUCUGCAACCACUACCACAACAGCACCAACAACAGCUCCCACCACUACCACAACAGCACCCACAACAGCUGCUACAACCUCCACAACAGCUGCUGCAACCACCACAACAGAGGCUGCAACUACGACAACAGCUGCUGCAACUACCACAAUAGCUAUUUCAAGUACCACAACAGCUCCUGCAACUACAACAACAGAAGCCACAACAGAACCCACAACAUCUGCCGCCACUACCACAAAGGCCCCAACAACAGCUGCUGCAACUUCCACAACAGCACCCACAACAGCUCCCAACACUACCACAACAGCACCCACAACAGCUCAAGAAACUACCACAACAUCUGCUGAAACCACCACAACAGCGGCUGCAACUACCACAACAGCUGCUGAAACCACUACAAUUGCUAUUGCAAGUACCACAACAGUUGCGGCAACUACCACAACAGCUCCUGCAACUACAAAAACGGAACCCACAACAGAACGCACAACAUCUGCCACCACUACCACAAGAGCUGCUGCAACUUCCACAACAGGUUCCCAAACCACCACAACAGAUGCUGUUGCAACCACCACAACAGCACCCAUAACAACUGCAGCAAUUACCUCAACAGCUACCACCACUACCUCAACAGCACCCACAACAGCUCCAAAGACUACCACAACAGCUGCUGCAACCACCACAACAGCUCCAGCAUCUACCACAACAGCUCCCACAACAGCUCCCACCACUACCAAAACAGCACCCACAACAGCUCCCACCACUACCACAACAGCACCCACAACAGCUCCAGAAACUACCACAACCGCUGCUGCAACCACCACAACAGCUGCUGAAACCACUACAACAGCUCCAGCAACCACCACAACAGCUGCUGCAACUACCACAACAGCUCCAGCAACUACCACAACAGCGGCUGCAACUACCACAACACCUGCUGCAGCAACCACAAUAGCUAUUGCAACUGCCCCAACAGCUGCAGCAACUACCACAACAGCUGCCCUCACUACCACAUCAGCUCCUACAAUUACAACAACGGAAGCCACAACACAACCCACAACAUCUGCCACCAUUACCACAAAGGCCCCCACAAUAGAUGCUGCAACUUCAACAACAGCUCCCACAAAAGGUUCUCAAACCACCAAAACAGAUGCUACUGCAACCACCACAACAGCACCCACAACAGCUGCAAAAACUACCAGAAACAGUUACAGCAACAACCACCACAGCUCCUGCAACCAACCACAUCAGCGGUUUCAACUACCACAACAGCUGCUGCAACCAAUACAAUAGCUAUUGCAACUACCAAAACAGCUGCAGCAAUUACCACAACAGCUCCCACCACUACCACAACAGCCC
ensembl:lncRNA